rnacentral:rRNA from 1 species
UGGGGAAUUUUGGACAAUGGGCGCAAGCCUGAUCCAGCCAUGCCGCGUGAGUGAAGAAGGCCUUCGGGUUGUAAAGCUCUUUUGUCAGGGAAGAAAUAGUCUGGGUUAAUACCCUGGGCGGAUGACGGUACCUGAAGAAUAAGCACCGGCUAACUACGUGCCAGCAGCCGCGGUAAUACGUAGGGUGCGAGCGUUAAUCGGAAUUACUGGGCGUAAAGCGUGCGCAGGCGGUUGUAUAAGUCAGAUGUGAAAUCCCCGGGCUCAACCUGGGAACGGCAUUGGAGACUGUACGGCUAGAGGGUAGCAGAGGGGGGUAGAAUUCCACGUGUAGCAGUGAAAUGCGUAGAGAUGUGGAGGAAUACCGAUGGCGAAGGCAGCCCCCUGGGUUACUACUGACGCUCAUGCACGAAAGCGUGGGGAGCAAACA